UCUUUACAACUGUCCGAUUUAAAUCUUCCUUAUCCUCAACAUGGAAAGUAAUUUUGCUUCCUUCCGGUUGAAUUGUCUCAGCGUGUUGAACUUGCGCAUUCUUAAACCCACAAUGAGGACAUUCAAACGACAUUAAAACAACCUCACGGAAGUAUGGAAUGACCGUCAACAAUAAUUUAGUAGUACCGUUUUUUCCACACUCCAUACACAACGAUUCGACUUCUUGAACACCAUUUCCUUCCCUAUCCUCAGCUGUUGACACAUUUUGUGCAGCAUUGCCAAUACUUGUGAACAAUUCUUCCUUUUUUUCUUCCGCCAUGCUCUCAAAUUUUCUUUUUAGCGUUAUUUUGAUUAGAUGUGUUUAAG